UCUUAUGGAUGUGCAAAAAAAGUGGUUUCUUAGGAAGGAAUCUAUUCCUGGUGAAGAUGAUGUGAA
rnacentral:pre_miRNA from 1 species